rnacentral:rRNA from 1 species
CCUACGGGUGGCAGCAGUGAGGAAUAUUGGUCAAUGGACGAGAGUCUGAACCAGCCAAGUAGCGUGAAGGAUGACUGCCCUAUGGGUUGUAAACCUCUUUUAUAUGGGAAUAAAAUGUUCCACGUGUGGGAUUAUGAAUGUACCUUAUGAAUAAGGAUCGGCUACCUCCGUGCCAGCAGCCGCGGUAAUACGGAGGAUGCGAGCGUUAUCCGGAUUUAUUGGGUUUAAAGGGAGCGUAGGUGGAUUGUUUAGUCAGUUGUGAAAGUUCGUGGCUCAACCGUAAAAUUGCAGUUGAAACUGGCAGUCUUGAGUACAGUAGAGGUAGGCGGAAUGCGUGGUGUAGCGGUGAAAUGCUUAGAUAUCACGAAGAACUCCGAUUGCGAAGGCAGUUCACUGGACUGAAACUGACACUGAGGCUCGAAAGUGUGGGUAUCGAACAGGAUUAGAUACCCCAGUAGUC